rnacentral:tRNA from 1 species
GAGGGUAGAGCUCAAUGGUGGAGCGCGUACCCAGCAUGCAUGAGGUCCUGGGUUCAAUCCCCAGUCCCUCCA